rnacentral:rRNA from 1 species
CCUACGGGAGGCUGCAGUGGGGAAUAUUGGACAAUGGGCGAAAGCCUGAUCCAGCCAUGCCGCGUGUGUGAAGAAGGCCUUCGGGUUGUAAAGCACUUUCAGUGGGGAAGAAAGCCUUGGGGCUAAUACCCUCGAGGAAGGACAUCACCCACAGAAGAAGCACCGGCUAACUCCGUGCCAGCAGCCGCGGUAAUACGGAGGGUGCGAGCGUUAAUCGGAAUUACUGGGCGUAAAGCGCGCGUAGGCGGUCUGAUAAGCCGGUUGUGAAAGCCCCGGGCUCAACCUGGGAACGGCAUCCGGAACUGUCAGGCUAGAGUGCAGGAGAGGAAGGUAGAAUUCCCGGUGUAGCGGUGAAAUGCGUAGAGAUCGGGAGGAAUACCAGUGGCGAAGGCGGCCUUCUGGACUGACACUGACGCUGAGGUGCGAAAGCGUGGGUAGCAAACAGGAUUAGAUACCCUGGUAGU